UUUUUAGAGAGUUUGAUCCUGGCUCAGGAUGAACGCUGGCGGCGUGCCUAACACAUGCAAGUCGAACGGGGUUAUUUUGGAAAAUCCUUCGGGAUUGGAAUUCUUAACCUAGUGGCGGACGGGUGAGUAACGCGUGAGCAAUCUGCCUUUAAGAGGGGGAUA
rnacentral:rRNA from 1 species